ACAAGACGGAGGAGGCAUGUGGUUUAAUUCGAUGAUACGCGAGGAACCUUACCUGGGCUCGAACGUAAGAUGACUGUAGGUGAAAGCUUACAUCUCUUCGGAGCAUUUUACGAGGUGCUGCAUGGUUGUCGUCAGCUCGUGCCGUGAGGUGUCGGGUUAAGUCCCAUAACGAGCGCAACCCCUACCUUUAGUUGCCAUCAGGUUAAGCUGGGGACUCUAAAGGAACUGCCUACGCAAGUAGUGAGGAAGCGGGGAUGACGUCAAAUCAGCACGGCCCUUACGUCCAGGGCUACACACGUGCUACAAUGGCCGAUACAGAGGGCAGCUACCUGGUGACAGGAUGCAAAUCUCCAAAGUCGGUCUCAGUUCGGAUCGGAGUCUGCAACCCGACUCCGUGAAGUCGGAUUCGCUAGUAAUCGCGCAUCAGCCAUGGCGCGGUGAAUACGUUCCCGGGCCUU
rnacentral:rRNA from 1 species